GCACCACUAGACUGUGUAUGUACUGAGAGAUGCAUGUUUUUGAGAACAUUCGAUAAACCAUGUUAUCUGAGCAGCCUUCAAACAGGCGGGUGCAGUUCCACAAGCAUUGCGGAUGGCUAUACUGAUAACGCAGCUGUCAAACACGACAGCGACAGAGCAAGAAAUAAUUUGUCUAUGUUGUCACAAAAUUCUACAGUUGGGGUUUCCACCGCAGCAUUUCAUAGACUCACCCAAUGAUGAACUUCAUCUUGCCCCUGCGAGCUGUAUCCACCAGGAUCGGGACCAGCUGCGGGUCCCGAGGUCCGAAGAUGCCAUGGGGACGGAUGGCAACGGUGAGGAAACCCUUCUUUUUGUCACAAGCCUCCAGGACCAACUUGGACACAAACAUGCAAAUAUACAAUGCGAGAAAAUAUGCAUUGGUGUGAGUGAAGGCAAUUGCUCAAGGAUGACACUAUUUUAACUAGAGUGUUCAAGGUUUUCUUUUUAAUUGAUGUUUGAUGAAAAGGAGCAGCGAUACAAGUGAUCAAAAGGUCCCAAGUUUGAUUUGAAAUGGGCACAAAACACUGACAUGCUCCAGAGCAAGGUACCCAACUGCUUCCAUUAUUCUGCAAAUCAUGUUCGCUACUAUUAUGACUCAAAUACACUGGUUGGAAGCAUUUCGUGUUUUCAUCGCAAUUAUGAAUGGGCAUAAAGUACAUCAUAAUUCUGUGAUUGUUGUGCAACUCAAUGUGCUGGAGUCUAUCAAUAAUGUGCCAUUCCAUACCAAAUCACCGACUGGGUGAUUUGGUAUGGAGCCAAGCCGAUUUUGAUUUUCAUGAAACUUGCUGUACUUGUCGACAGCGAUGGGACAAGACUAAAUUUUAAAUUGUAGGCUCAAUCGGAGCAGGCGUUUAGGAGCUACGGACCACCGAAUUUUAAUAUGUUGGUCAAAAAGGGGUGGUGCCGCCUUCCUUUGAAUCCUCAUACCUCCGAAACUACAAAACAGGUAUUGUUGGGAAAGGGAAUUCAACAAGGAAUCAGAAUCUGGAAUCAUUUAGAAGGCUGGUGGAUAUUUUUGUAACUUUAUCUUUUCACCUAUAAUUUGACCUUGUGACUCACGUGACCCGAACACAAGUUUCAGUAAUUUUUUUUGUUUAGCGAUAAUAAGGACAUGAAGAAUCCAUCCCCUCAAAUAUUCAAAGAAAGGUGAAUAUUCGUUCAUGAUUUUGUGAGAGAUUUAGAGAUUGAGUGUUGUGUCAUCACUAUCAACAAGUACAGCAAGUUUCGUUCAAAUUAAAAUAUGCCUGGUUAAAAUGUUCAGGAUUUUGGCGGGUGAUCUGAUAUGGAAUAACCUUGAUGCGGUAGGAAAGUCAAAAUUCAGUAAAUAAUUGCAUUGCGGCAGAAUCCCAUCUCCAGAUUCAGAACCAAACAAGAGCAAUUUGCACGAAGUU